rnacentral:lncRNA from 10 species
AGGGAUGUGGAGUGCAGGUCUUAGGAGUAGAGGAGACUUUGGAACCACCACAUUGGGCCAUUUUCCUUACCUGAGCCCUGGUGGAUGGUAGUCAACAGCCUGUGCUUUGGAGACUGACUAGCAAUGUUUGAAUCCUGGCUUAUUAGCUCUGUGUGACUCUGUAUAAACUUACUGUGCUUCAAUUACCUGUUUCAUAGGGUAGAGGUAAUAUAGUGCCUGGAGUUGUUGAUAGGACUAAUGAGAUAAUAUAUUUCAGAUAUGCACAGCUCAGUGGCUGGCACAAUUUGACCACUAGAUAAACCCUGGGUCUUAUUUGUUGCAAUAUAUCUGCCAGAGAUUCUAGAGGUCUGGUCCUAGCCUACCACUAACUAGCCAGUUGAGUUUUUACACAUCAGUUAAUCUUUCAGAGAGUUGGAUUGUAUUAGAUGGUCUCUCAGGUCCUUCUAGACUUAGAAAUUUGUUGAUGAGACAGUCCUGUCUAGCCUAGUGCCUAAGAACUUGAACUACUGGAGCCAGACAUGCCUACAUAUGAAUUCCAGCUAUGUCUUUUGCUAGCAUUGUGAGUUGAGGUAUAUUAUUUAAUGCUUCUAUGCCUCAGUUUUGUCAUUUGCAAAAUGGGACUCAUAAGAGCGCCUACAUCAUAGGGUUGUUGUGAGGAUCCAAGCGGUGGUAGAAGUAAGACGCAGAGCCAAGUGGCUUGCAAAGAUAAGGGUUUACCAGAAGGUGGGUUGGUGUAAAAGCAAUUGUAGUUUUGCCAUUAAAAGUAAACGUAAUAGCUGUUAGGUUGGUGCAAAAGGAAUUGUGGUUUUUCCAUUAAACUGUAAUUACUUUUGCGCCAACCUAUUAGUGAUUGUUAUUAUGGUUUGAACAUGGUUAGAAUCACACUACCACGGUUUCUGGGCAUUGGUAGGGACAUUAGAAAUACAAUCAUUCCGAUUUCAAAUAUUCUAUCCAUUGUCCACAUAAACUAUAAUCUGUGCUGAGAAUUCAAGUACUAUUUCACGGGAAAAUUUCUUGCUACUAGGUAGGUACAGAAUUCCGAGUAAUCCCAAUACUCAGAAAAUAAGGUUACUGUUUUUUUUUUAUUUUUGGCUCAGAAAAUAAAGUUACUGUUCUUAGCAAUCACUCGCUAUACAUUUAAACCAUGGCUAGAGGACAGCUAGAUGGAUGUUAGGCAGAAAUGAGGGUCAAGGAUGAUAACAUCCUAUGGAAAAUACGACAGGAUAAAUGGAACUGGACUCACAAAUGGAACCCAUUAGGUGGAAUCCCACUGAAGUAGUUUGUGUUUGAAAUUAUCCAGUUCUAGGGAAACUUGUCGGGACUGAUACUACCACCACUAGCAGUAUAACAAUGAUGUUCUUAGCAACCAAGGAUUCAUUAUUUUAUGGGAUGAGAUUUCCUUUUUGCCUUCUACCAACAUAUUAGGAUAUAAAAUAACUUCUAAUCUCGCUCCUUAACCUUAUGCACCAUAUUUGGAGUUGGAGAUCCCCAAAGGGCAAAUCACACAGCUACUCCUAUUCUGAAAAUAGAUUUGAAUGAUGGUGAAGAAAUGUGAAGCAGUCAUGGGCCUUAAAGAAUCCCAUUAGUGUUAUUGAUGUACUACAUUAUAUACUUUUAAUGGGAUCAUUAGCCAAAGAAUAGAAUAAUAAAAUUUUAAAGCUCGAGCAGAGCUUAGAGGUAAACGAAUCCAAAUCAUUUAUUUUACAGAUGAAGACAAUGAGACUGAGAGGUGAAGUGACUUUCUCAAAGUCACCUGGUGCUGUAGUGGCAGGGAUGGGGCUGGUAUCCAGACCCGGACUCUGCACACACGCCUGUCCUUAUUGAUGUUUGAAGACCAUAAGCUUUCUUACAUUUCAUGAGGACAUCACAGGACAGUGAUUAAGGAGGAAUGUUUAUGAUGUUUAUAAAUUCAUGUUAAACAUACCGUAGAUUAACAAAGCAAGGACUCUUUCCUUAUCCACUCUUAUAAUAUUAAUGAUCCUUUCAGUGGGUGGAGGGGAAUCUCAGAAUUGCAAAAUGAUGGAUCUCAACCCUGAAGCUAAAUAGUGAAAGGCUCAGUAACUCGCCAGAGACUAAAACUUGGAAACAUUUCCACUGUAUCCCUUAAUUCCACACAAUGUUCUAAAACUGGAUUUUUAAUUCC